rnacentral:rRNA from 1 species
GAUGAACGCUGGCGGCGUGCCUAAUACAUGCAAGUCGAGCGAACGGACGAGAAGCUUGCUUCUCUGAUGUUAGCGGCGGACGGGUGAGUAACACGUGGAUAACCUACCUAUAAGACUGGGAUAACUUCGGGAAACCGGAGCUAAUACCGGAUGAUAUUUUGAACCGCAUGGUUCAAAAGUGAAAGACGGUCUUGCUGUCACUUAUAGAUGGAUCCGCGCUGCAUUAGCUAGUUGGUAAGGUAACGGCUUACCAAGGCAACGAUGCAUAGCCGACCUGAGAGGGUGAUCGGCCACACUGGAACUGAGACACGGUCCAGACUCCUACGGGAGGCGGCAGUAGGGAAUCUUCCGCAAUGGGCGAAAGCCUGACGGAGCAACGCCGCGUGAGUGAUGAAGGUCUUCGGAUCGUAAAACUCUGCUAUUAGGGAAGAACAUAUGUGUAAGUAACUGUGCACAUCUUGACGGUACCUAAUCAGAAAGCCACGGCUAACUACGUG